UAGUGAUAUAAAGCAAAACUCAAAAAGACAGUCUCAGUUCGGAUUGAAGGCUGAAAUUCGCCUUCAUGAAGUCGGAAUUGCUAGUAAUGGCAGGUCAGCAUACUACGGUGAAUACGUUCCCGGGCCUUGUACACACCGCCCGUCAAACCAUGAGAGUUGGCAACACCCGAAGUCGGUAGUCUAACCGCAAGGAGGACGCCGCCGAAGGUGGGGUUGAUGAUUAGGGUUAAGUCGUAACAAGGUACC
rnacentral:rRNA from 1 species